rnacentral:rRNA from 1 species
AUUGAACGCUGGCGGCAGGCCUAACACAUGCAAGUCGAGCGGAUGACGGGAGCUUGCUCCUUGAUUCAGCGGCGGACGGGUGAGUAAUGCCUAGGAAUCUGCCUGGUAGUGGGGGACAACGUUUCGAAAGGAGCGCUAAUACCGCAUACGUCCUACGGGAGAAAGCAGGGGACCUUCGGGCCUUGCGCUAUCAGAUGAGCCUAGGUCGGAUUAGCUAGUUGGUGGGGUAAUAGCUCACCAAGGCGACGAUCCGUAACUGGUCUGAGAGGAUGAUCAGUCACACUGGAACUGAGACACGGUCCAGACUCCUACGGGAGGCAGCAGUGGGGAAUAUUGGACAAUGGGCGAAAGCCUGAUCCAGCCAUGCCGCGUGUGUGAAGAAGGUCUUCGGAUUGUAAAGCACUUUAAGUUGGGAGGAAGGGCAGUAAGUUAAUACUUUGCUGUUUUGACGUUACCGACAGAAUAAGCACCGGCUAACUCUGUGCCAGCAGCCGCUGUAACAC